CGGGGGGAGCAAGCGUUGUUCGGAUUUACUGGGCGUAAAGGGCGCGUAGGCGGCCUCUGCAAGUCGACUGUGAAAUCUCCGGGCUUAACCCGGAACGGUCAGCCGAUACUGCAGGGCUAGAGUGCAGAAGGGGCAACUGGAAUUCUCGGUGUAGCGGUGAAAUGCGUAGAUAUCGAGAGGAACACCUGCGGCGAAGGCGGGUUGCUGGGCUGACACUGACGCUGAGGCGCGAAAGCUAGGGGAGCGAACGGGAUUAGAUACCCCGGUAGUCCUGGCCUUAAACGAUGAAUGCUUGGUGUCUGGGGUUUUAUAGUCCCCGGGUGCCGUCGCUAACGCUUUAAGCAUUCCGCCUGGGGAGUACGGUCGCAAGACUG
rnacentral:rRNA from 1 species